UUUGAAGAAUAAAUAUUUAAUAUUUUGACAACAUAACUUAUACAAUAUAUUACGCUCUUUUUUUCUAAUGAAACACAAGAAUAACUAAUUCCAAAAGAGUUUGGAACCGUAGUAUCACAAAAAAAAUCUUGAAUAUAUUUCGUAAUGUAACGUUUAUUAUUUACAUAGUAAAUCCGCCUGGAUCCUAAUUUUUGAAAUGUAUUGUACAUUAUUUGACAUAUUUAUCGCAUUCAGUAUGAUGAUAAAAUCAUUGAAGGCAAUUAAUUUAUAUUGAAAUUUUUAUUUUUAAACUCGUAUGGAUAAAAUUAUAUCAUUUAUCGAAUGCGAUAAAGUGUGUCACAUAAACCACAGUAGUUCAUGUCAAAACAAUUUUGCAU